ACCGGCAGCUCAAGUGGUGGCCAUUUUUAUUGGGCCUAAAGCGUUCGUAGCCGGUUUGAUAAGUCUCUGGUGAAAUCCCGCAGCUUAACUGUGGGACUUGCUGGAGAUACUAUUAGACUUGAGUUCGGGAGAGGUUAGGGGUACUCCCGGGGUAGCGGUGAAAUGCGAUGAUCCUGGGAGGAACGCCAGUGGCGUAGGCGCCUGACUGGCCUAAAACUGACUCUGAGUCGCGAAAGCGAGGGGAGCGAACGG
rnacentral:rRNA from 1 species